UGCUAAUUAACCUCUUACUAUUUGUUUUAGAAAUCAUUUGCACUUUUUUAAAAAGUUUGGAACUAUGAUUACAAUUAGUUUUUUUAUUUUAUUUUAUUUAAGUAGAAUGGUAUAUUCAUCAUUUCAUAACCUUUAGUUGAUAAAAUGGAUGAAAAUAAUCUUUUGAGCAAUGAAAGAUGAAAAUAAGAGUGAAAAUGUCAAAAUAUGAAAGAUAAUGACGUUUUUCACAAGAAUAGUGAAAAGUAAAGACGUUAUAUGCUAAUUACCCUACCACAUAAUUUAUAGAUAUUACAAUACCUAGCUAGUUAGCCUUAAGAGAACCCAAACAUCGAUCAAGACUCUGAUAGUAAUGUUCAAGCUUUGGGUUUUGGCUACUAUGCAAUAAUAUAUCUACCUUACUAAGCCUCUAUUAAUGACCAUUAUUUGUUUAAAAUGAUGUUUUGAAUGAUGAAAUUUUUUGAGAACACACACAUAUAUAUAUAGCAAUUGUUCCCGAAAUGUGUAAAUAAUAUUAACUAAUAAUUACAAAUAUAUAGUUAAAUUUAACGUUCAACUUUAAUCUAAUUAAAAAGGUAAUUUAUAAACUAUCCAAACGUGGUGUAAAUGAAAGAAGCAGUAAGAAGUUUAAAUGUCAUGGGAAUAUACAAAUUGCAAAAUGAUAGGCCAUGUUUAAGUAAUAUUUUUUCAAAAAAAAAAAAAUGCAUUUUUAAACAGUGAUUUUACAUCAUUUCAAUUAUACAUUUUUCAAUAAAAUAAUAUUACACGUAAAUCUAAAAAUUUUCUUUAUUUUUAACCACAGAUUUUCAAUCAAUACACUAUUCAAAAAUACAUUAUAAAAAAAAUAAUGUGACUCAAACAAAGGCUGUGAUUUCAUUGUUCAGACAACUGUAUAAUUUUGACUCGUUAACGUACCGUAUAAGUAACUUGGAAAUUGCAACUUGCAUUCGAAUGAAUAAGAAAGAAGGUUCAAUGUGCAACUAAGGAUGUCAAUUGGGCUCAUCGGCUCCGCCUUCUGUUGCUCGACUUGAAAAAAGUUCGAGCUGGCUCGACUUGAGGCUCGGUUCAAAGCUCGGGUUAAGUCCCAUUUUGAAGUUCCGGGCUUAGCCUGAGUCAGCCCGUGUAACUCGCCGACUUGGGCUCGAGCCUUCUUAAUUAAAAAAAAAAAAAAGGGCAGCAAACCUGCCUGCCUUAAAAAUAAGGCAGCAGUCAAUUGCCUUAUUUAAGGCAACUGGCUACUGCCUUUCUUAAGGCAGACGUGCCAGUAUAAUAAUAAUAAUAAAAGAGAGAGAGAGAGAGAGAGAAAAAAUCGAGCCGGUCCAGCUCGGCUCGACCAGCUAAGGCCUGAGCCGAAAGCUCGGUUCGAGCCUUGUUUUUUUGGUUGAGCUUUUGCUCAACUCGACUCGAUUCGUUAACAUUCUUAGUGCAACUCACAAUUUCUUGGCCCUAGCAUGUGAAUAUUAUACAUUGUAGGUUCACCGAUGAUCACAAAAAGCUUAAGAAAAAUUUUAUAUUCCUCAUUAAAGUUUAUUUAUUUAUUUAUUAUUAUUAUUAUUUUUUAUCUAUAUAGUCCCUUAAAGUUAAUCAAUGUUAUUAAUUUGAUUAAUGACAUAUCAAACACAAUAAUUGUUAAACCUUCAUGUACACUAAUGAUUUUUAAAGCGAUUGGUUCCUUUCAAUUGUCACCUCUUUUAUCGUUCUCUUUAAUGAUGAGAAGGGAGUAAUUUGAAUUUUUUGGUUGAUAUGAGGGUAUGGACACAAUGUUCGUUAGUCGAUGUCAAUGACCCAACCUCAGAUCUAGAGUGAAUGCCACUAAAUGAGUGACGGAUGAUUGUAAAUUAGUUUAAAAAUACUUCAAUGACUAAUUUGAAAAAUCACUUGAAGUUCAGUGACCAUUUGUAAAAUUAACUUACACAGUGGUCAAACUUCAAAAGCUUUUGGCUUAAGAUUUUUGGUCGGUAGGUUCUCGAAAUCUUAACUAAGAAGAAUAAUGUUCUACAUAGUUUAGAGUAAUAUUAUUUGCAGAGCACUACCUUAAUUGUCCUAUAUGACGUACAUGUGGCGAUUAGUGAUUUGAUAUAUUAAUGUUAUAGUCUUUUAUUAUUUUAUGCAACAAAUUACUAAUCGUCACUUGUAGGACGAUUGCGAUAGUGAAAGAUUGCAAAUAGCAUUAUUCUAUAAUUAAGACGACUCUUGAUUAUUAUUUUAAUAUACAAUACGGACAUAAAUUUAGUCCUCAUUUGGCCUCAUUAUUUCAUAUUAUAAAUUUUUUUCUCUCUCUCACACACACAUACUUUCAACCAUACAAUUUUCGAUAAAAUAAUAUUACACGUAAAUCGAAUUUUUUUUCAUCUUUUCCAAUCACACAUUUUUAAAAAAAAUAUCAUUUUAAAAAUUAGAAUACCAAAUAAUGGGGGACCAAACUUUUUCUUAAUAGGAUUGCUCUUACUUUAUAACUGUAUAAUAUUACAAUUACUCAUAUGUAAUAUUAUAGAUAUUUGUUAAUAUAAAGAGCAAUUUCAUAUUGCUCAAUUGUUAGCUUCAAGAAUCCGAGCGCAACUCUGACGAGAAAAAUUAUUGAUCUAUCUCAACAAUCCAAAUUAUCUUUCUUAAAGCCAUCUCCAACCCAACACCAAAUUUUGCACCAAAUCUUACACCAAACUAAAAUUUAUCUCCAACCAUUACACCAAAAAUUACACCAAAUGAACAGUAUUUAACCAUUUUCUUCCCUUUUUUUAUUCUUUAUAAUCUACUUAUUUGAAAUAUUUAUUUAAUUAUUUUAGAAAUACAUAAAUUACUAAAUAAAUAAUUACGUUAAAUUACGGAAACGAUUAAAUUCAUUAAUAAAUAUAAAAAACAUAGUUAAUAAAAAUACUACAACAACGAAAAUAUGAAAUAAUGCCAUUAGAAAAUAGUACAAUACAUUUCGAAUUUGAAUAGACGACAUUACGAAGUCGCUAAAUUUUUGCAAUUUAAUUAUUAGAAUUCAUAUGUUCAUCCCACAAAUGAUCGAUUAAUGCAUUUCGAAGUGCAAUGUGAGUUUCUUCUGAUUUGUUUGGAAAUUAUUUUGACGAUUUUGGAGGAUCUGGAAGUAAUCUUCCAGAUUAUUGAACAAUGCACUUUUUUAUGUAUCUUUUAAAAAAAAAAAAAUUAGAUUAUCGUAUGUAUGUUGCUCUAUUUAAUAUAUUUCGUGUUAACUUUAAUAAAUAAUCGUGUUUGAUGUAUUUUAAAUUGUUUUCAACUUUUAAUUAAUUAAUUAAUUAAUUAUUAUGUCUUACAUUUAAAAUUUAUUUUAAACACAAAUAAUAUUAAUAUUAGUAAAAAUAAUAAUAAUUUAUUGUAUUAAAAAAUAUAUAGCACAAAUUACAUAAAUACCCUCAACAAAUUUAUUUGGGAAAUGUAAAAUAAGGGCAAAAUGGGCAUUUUACACUUUGCACCAUUUUGCACCAAAAUGGUGCAAAGUUUGGUAUUGGGUUGGAGCAAUUUUACACCAAAAAAUGGUGCAAAAUGGUGCAAUGGUGUUGUGGUUGGAGAUGGCCUUAGCCAUUUUCUUUAUUCUGAAAGCAAGAUCUGUCGCCAAUGAAUUCGACAUAUAAAAGACACCUAUAAUUCCAUCUGAUUGUUGGCUAAAACUUUCCAUGUAGUGAAAUAAUAAAGCAUUAUUUAUCUCUCAAACUAUCUUCUCCUACUUCUCGUAUGAUGGCAUGCAAUUGCUUCAACUAAUCGGCAAUCUAAUCCAACAAUAUUUCUCCAACUUUUUUAUCGGAGGCUAAUGCUGGUGGCAAAGAAAUCUGGCAAAAAAAAAAUAAUAAUAAAUAAUAAAUAAUAAUACAGCAACGAGAAAGAGCGUCAUAAAGAUGAGUAAAGGUAAAAAAUACUUAAAAAUAUCGAGAACUCUAGGUGGGAGAUAGAUAAUAAAAACGAUUGAUAAGCAUAAAUUAAUGGCCGAAAGGAUGUGAAAUUUGUAUUUGAGAAGCUUUUCUAGGAUAUCCAUGGCAGAUUUGGGCUACCUUUUUGUAAAAUCAUUAUGAGUUUUUGUAAAAGACGAAAGGGUGCGUGGGGUGAUGACUUAGUGCAGAGAUUCUCUGUUGGAAAAAUUCCCCCUUUUUUUCUAAAAUUUUAAGAUUAUUGUCUUGAGGCCACUAAAAAAAUUUCUAAGAAAAAAUAGUAAUUAGAUAAAAACAUUCGUGCUGAUAAUGUAUUGUAAAAAGAGAAGAGAAUAAAGAGAAGUCAAUAAACUAAUGUGUAUUUUAUUAAAAAUCAAAGUCCUAUAUUUAUAGGGCAAAAUCAGGGAUACAGCAAUAAUAAUUUCUAGAAUUGCGAGAGUACAAUUGUCGUUCACAUGUAAACUCUAAUUAACUUAUAUUUUAAAAUAGUUUUUUGAUUUUUAAAAGGGAAAAUGUGUUUUAAUUGAAAUGCCCUUAUUUUAUUUUGUCAAAAUUAUAAAAUUUUCAUUUCUAGGAUCAAUUGACGGUUUCAUUAACGGUUUCUGGUAGUUUGGAUUUUACAUGCGAGUUUUUUAAAGGUUUGAUACUGUGACUACAAUUUUCCCUUUUUAUUGAGAAAAUUGGACGAAAAUGAUCUUUUUCACGAUAUAAAGGAUUUUUUGCAGUGAAAAUAGAGAUGAAAAUACCCAAAAUAAAAGAUAAAAACAUUUCGCACAUUAAUAUCGAAAAGUAAUUACAAUAUGUGCUAUUUAACCCCAUGUAGGUGGCCAUCACGCGGCUGCUUUUCCUUGCCCUGAAAUACUCACCACUGUAACGCCACCAUUGUCCCUAAUUCUUCUCUAUCGCCAAAUUCCAAACCCUAGGCGGACAGAUUCGCUGACUCUCAAUUAAAGCAUAAAACCGAAAAUUCCAUUCCCAUUACUGUGCAAGCCCUAGAUUAACCCGUUUACAAUAUGGACN
rnacentral:lncRNA from 1 species